rnacentral:lncRNA from 1 species
CCGCCCCUCCCGGGGGUCCCCGCCCCGCCCCCUCUCUGCCGGGGGUCGCCCUGCCCGGAGCAGUCGCGCGGAGACUGCGCGGCCUCCGCCUCUACGCGCUCGCGGUCGCCGCUCCUCUCCCGCCUUUGUUCUCGGGUCGCCCCUCUCGCUGGUGGCGCUCCGAGAGAGCAGCGGAGCCACCUGCCCAGGCCACGCUUCCCCGAGCAUCCGCAGCUGCACCCGGGGGCUGUCGGCGCCCGCCCCGGAGCGUGCGGGAGGCACAGCGGGAAGAAGUCGCUGAGAUUCGGCCCUCGUGGCUUUGCGUGCCCGCGUGGUUGAUGCCUCCGCCGAGAACGCGGUCGGCCGGGAGCCGGGGAGGAGCGUGGACGCCGGCCUGGCAGGUACCCCCGCGAGAACGUGGGAGCCGGUGUAUUUCAGCUGCAUUUAUUACUGAUCUCGGGCUGCACCAGGGCACUUGUAGGACCGCACUAAAAACAGCGGAAAGUGAGGAGCCAAGCCUGGGUCCGGGGCGGCCCGCCGUACAGCUGGCCUCACGGAUUCCACUGCCUGCGCCUGCAGAUGACUUGUUCUGGAGAGUAGAGAAUGUUCUCGGAUUUAAAGUACAAUCCGGUUUCCUUUCCAUUCAUUAUAGUUGCCUACACUCAACAAACAAAAGUUGGGAAAGAUAAAGGGAUUAUUCUAGCGCGUCACAUUGACAAACACCGACGUUAACACGCUCAGUCCAGCCUGACUCACUUGCCUCAGGUCAGAGAGGUCACCACUGACGACGCCGGGCCCUCAAGCCGAUCCUAAUCCAGCUUGGUUCUCUCAGCCUCAGCCAGACCAUCCGUUCUUGCCUCUGUCCCACCACGUGCAGGUGUAAGCUUCCGCCGCACUUCUUGUCUGAAUCUGCCAAGAAGAAACUGCAUCUUUCAGCUAAAUUCUUUUCACUGAUCAGGGUAGAGUUUAGCGGUUUUUUUUUUAAGAAAAAAAACAAAAACAAAAAAAAACUCUUAAGCUAUUUGGUACUCCUCUCCCUCCGGGAUUCUGUCUCUAGAUUGUGAAAGCUGUCAGAGAAUGGAGUCAGGGAAAGCCGUGAUGGGAAAGUUCUCACUAAUAAUUGCCUGAUAUAAAGAAUUAGCACAAAAGACUGCCAAAACCACAACCUUGCACAAAGGCCACAAAACUACACAAAAAAAUGCUUCAAGGACAUUUGCGCAGCAACUGCCUGUCCAACCUUGGACUGGCCAUCCCCUUUGUUACUGAUCUUUGUAGCCAAGGAUAAUUGUUUCAAAACAACUUACGUAAUCCUCCUCGUUUUUCCUUUUAAACCCCUUAUCUUCCUUUACCUCCCUGAAUACACCUAUAGUUUACUAUGACACCAUAUUCUACAUUGCAAUGCCCACUUUCAAAUAAAUUUGUCAUGUUUGGCAAACCUGUCUGUUAUUUAGGUUGACAAGAUCAAAUGCAAAUUUAUUCUGGAGUCAACAAAUAACUGAUUCAGUCUUCCAAUGUGCAAGGCAAAGAAGAAUAUUAAGGAGACACUGUAUAGAUUAGAUCCCUGCCUAUAGGCAGCUUCAACACUAAUACAAUAUGGUACGAAUAUAUAAUUGUACUUUAAGGCAGCUUAGGUGGGAAAACAACUAGCAACUAAAAAAAAAAAUGGAGUUUACUACCAACUAAAAAAAAUGGAGGUUUCAAGGUUGACCUAGAAUUUGAAAACUGCUUUAAAGACAGGUAAGAAAGACACAGGUAGAUGUGCAAUGGAAGUAGAAAUUGGGUUUCAAGCCCCAAACAGGCUGAGGGGUGGGAAAAUAGACAUAUUCAGGUACAUCAAUCGUUCCAGUUUGGCAUAAGAAUGAGAUAAAUGAAGAUGGAUUCUAGGAGUUAAGGAUGAAAUAUGUAGGGAGGUACUAUGAUGUAAUGGAGAGAACAAAGAUUUCAAGUUAAGACUUUGGUUUAAAUCCCAGCUGUGCCUCUUAUUAGCUGUGUGAUCAAAGGUAAAUUAGUUAAUCUCUCUGACCCUCCAUUUCCUCAUUUGUAUGAUAACAAUAAUGUCCAAUUAUUCCACAAAUAUUUUAUGGCAAGCCAAGUAUUAACUAAGAACUAUGUUAAAUGAUGAAG